rnacentral:rRNA from 1 species
ACGGGUGAGUAACACGUAGGCAACCUGCCCUCAGGACUGGGAUAACUACCGGAAACGGUAGCUAAUACCAGAUAAUUCACUUUUUCGCAUGGAGAAGUGAGGAAAGACGGAGCAAUCUGUCACCGGAGGAUGGGCCUGCGGCGCAUUAGCUAGUUGGAGAGGUAACGGCUCCCCAAGGCGACGAUGCGUAGCCGACCUGAGAGGGCGAUCGGCCACACUGGGACCGAGACACGGCCCAGACUCCUACGGGAGGCAGCAGUAGGGAAUCUUCCGCAAUGGGCGAAAGCCUGACGGAGCAACGCCGCGUGAGUGAUGAAGGUUUUCGGAUCGUAAAGCUCUGUUGCCAAGGAAGAACGUCCUUAAGAGUAACUGCUUAAGGAGUGACGGUACUUGAGAAGAAAGCCCCGGCUAACUACGUGCCAGCAGCCGCGGUAAUACGUAGGGGGCAAGCGUUGUCCGGAAUUAUUGGGCGUAAAGCGCGCGCAGGCGGUCAUUUAAGUCUGGUGUUUAAGCCCGGGGCUCAACCCCGGAUCGCACGGGAAACUGGAUGACUUGAGUGCAGAAGAGGAGAGUGGAAUUC